UUAAAUUGGUUGAACAUCUGUCGCACGAGACUUUCUGGAAAGUCACUCCAAGUCGGAUAGGGAGUCAAAUACAACGUGCCAAGUAUAUCAGUGAUUAUCUUUGUAACCAUCCUAUUUGGAAUAAACAUGCAACAUUGCAACAACAACAACAACAACAACCCAGUAUCCCACUUAGUGGGGUCUGGGGAGGGUAAUAUGUACGCAGACCUUACCCCUACCCUUGGGUA
rnacentral:lncRNA from 1 species